rnacentral:lncRNA from 10 species
GCUGAGCACAGUUCUGACAGAGGGGAGCUGAUAUGGCCCUUUCUUGGGGAGAAGAGUCUGGGGCACCCUCUGAGAUUCUGUAUGUAUCUCCCUGAGACUUUAUCACUGUUCAGGCGGAGCCAGUGAUGAGUCCCUUUGUGGGUAUAUGCAUAAUUCUUCUCUGAGGGAACAAGAGCAAAAGGCAAAAGGACUGCAGCUCCUGUCACACAGGGUGGCUCCUGGAGGGUGUGUUCCAGUACAAUGAAUGAAUAAGUCAAGAAAGAGGAGAACUUGAGUCCAAGAAGCAAAGACAGGGCAAGGAGGAUGCUGUCCUUCUCAAAAAGGCAGAAGCUGGCUCUCAGGCACCCUAUCAGCAUUUCAGCCCUCAAGAGUAUGGAAGAGGAAGAGGAGAGCAAGAAGCUUCCUUUUUAAGAAGGCUUUUUCCACAACCAUCGAAGGCUACUCUGAUUUGCAAUUAGCAGGAUAAACUGAAGAUAACACCUUGCAGAAGCAGAUCUCAAUUAACAACUGAUGGAAAAAAGAGGAAACUGAAGAGGCCAAAAGAAAGGGAACACACAAUGAGGAAGAAGGAGAAAGUUGGACCCAUUCCAAGAAUCAUGCAAGCCAUUCUGCUGGAUGUGAAGUGGUAUCUGAUUGUUACUAGAAGGCUAUCCUUACAAGAAAUGCUAAAGGAAAUUGUUCAGACUGAAAGCAAUUGACACCAGACGGUAAUUUGAAUCCACACAGUAAAACAAUGAGCAUCAGCAGAGGUCAUUAUGUCAGUAAUUUGAACCACAGUAUAAUAUAUAUUACUACUCCUUCCUUCUCUUAGCUGAUUUAAACAGCAAUUGCAUAAAACAAUAUGUAUAUAAUUGCAUUAUUAAGCCUAUAACAUACAGAAAUGCAAUAUAUUUGACAAUAACAUCACAAGAAAGGUAGGAGGGAACAAAGCUGUAUUAUAGUACAGAAAUGACACCAGAUGGUAACUUGAAUCUACAGGAAGAAAUAAAGAGCGCCAGAAAUGAAGAAUAAGAAGAUUAACAUAAUAAACUCUCUAAAUAUAUACUUGCCCUCCUUUCUUCUCUCAGCUACUAUAAAAGACAUGAAACAUGAAAUUAUAUAAAACAAUAAUUAUAAAAAUUUAUUGUGCAGUUUGUAAUAUAUGUAAGUGCAAAAUAUGUUGUUGGAUUCUUGGUUGAGGUUUUUAUCUUUCUGCACUUUGAAUGUGUCAUCUAGCUGCUUUCUAGCCUCCAUUCUUUCUGAUAAGGAAUCAGAUGUUAAUCUUACUGGGGUUACAUUGUACAUGAUGCGUUGCUCUUCUCUUGCUGCUUUCAAGAUUUUCUCUUCAUUCUUGGUUUUCAACAUUUUGAUUAUAAUGUCUCAAGGUCUAGACCUUUUUGCAAUAUCCUACUUGAGUUCAACAAGCUUCUUGGAUAUGUAGAUUAAUGUGUUGUUUUGUUCUUUUGUUUGGGUUUUUUUUUUUUUUGGUCAAAUUUGUGAUAUUUUCAGCCAUUUUUCCUUUGUAUAGGUUUUUAUCUCCUUUCUCUUUCUCUCAUCUUUCUGGGACUCUCAUUAUACAUAUGUUGGUACACUUAAUGGUGUCCCACAUUUCUCUGAUGCCAUUUAUUUUUCCUCAUUCUUUUCAUCUCUGUGCUUCAAAUUGCAUAAUCUCAAUUUAUCUUCAAAUUCACUGAUUCUUUUUCCAACUCAAAUCUACUGUUGAGUUCCUCUUUUGAAUUUUUCAUUUUACUUACUGUGUUUUUCAACUCUAGAAUUUCCAUUUCUUUUUAAAAUAAUUUCUAUCUUUAUCAAUAUUUUCUAUUUGAUAAAACUGUCAUAAUACAUUUACUUAAUUCUUUAAAUAUUGUUUCCUUUAGUUCUUGGGACAUAUUUAUAAUAGCUGCUUUGUGAUUCUUUGAACUUUCCUGCUAAGUCCAUUCUCUGGGCUCCCUCAAAAACAGUUUCUAUUGUUGGCUUUUUCCCUUUACAUGGGUCACUCUUUCCUGUUUCUUUGCACAUCUGACAAUUUUUUUUUUGAAAACAGAACAUGUUAGAUAAUACAUUGCAGCAACUUUGGAUAUUGAUUCUCCCUUACCACCUUUGGGAUCUGUUGUUGUUUCCUCAUUUUCUUGUUUGUUUAGUGACAUAAUUGGACUAGUUCAGUUAAGUCUGUUUCCUUCAAAGUGUGCAACAUCUAACAGCAUGCCUCAGACAGCACAGACUUGGGCAUGUACACAGUCUUUUUAACUGCCAGAGAUAACUGUGGUUUUCUCUUUGACUGUCUCUUUCUCAUUGAGACUUUGGGUGGUCUACCUCUGUUGGUAUUACAUACAACCAUUGGCCUCCAGCAAUCUUUAUCUGAUUGUUCUACUUUUUUCAGCAACUCCCUGGGGCAUAAUAUGCUUCACAGUCUAAUCCAAUUAAAGUUCCUUGAAAGGGGCAGAGUGUUUACAGUCUUUGAAGCUUGCUCCAAAUCUGCCCUGGAAGAAUGUCUGUCCUAUAGAUCAGGAGCUGGGGGAAAUUAGAAAACUCAUUCUUUCCCAGGCACUGCACUAGAGUUCUUCUUAUGGUGUAGGAGCUGUGAGAAGAGAAAAGGGGGAAGUAGGAACUGGCACUGCCACCCAGCUGCGCCCACCACCAAGUACACAUAUUCCACAGCGCAGAGCUGGGGAGAAUAAUAACUGCCAAUAUUCAUAGCUGUCAACCUACCCAUAAUAGUUCUUCCAUUCUAGGAAGCUGGGGAAGAUGGGAGAUGCCACUUGGCUGCUGAGCCAACUGGAAUAGUUCUCGUGCAACAUAGAGCCAUGAAAAAGGGGGGACUGACUUCUUACCAGCUGCCCCACUUAGAUCCUCCCCAUAUAAUCGGAGUUGGGGGUGAAGGAACAGACACUGAUGCAUGUUUGCUGGCACCGAUUCAAUAUUCGACUUCCACAGCAUGGAUCUUUGAAAAAUACUGUCAUGUAAUUUUCACUGGCUGCCAAAUCCACCCCAAAUAACUUUUUUACCCCAGGGAGCUGGAGAAGAUGGGAAUUGCCACUUGUGGGAUGAGCCCACAGAAAACAUCCUCCCGCAAGGUAGAGCUGUUGCAGCCCCUAGUUCUAAUGCAAUGUCCUCCCACUGUUCCUAUCAAGUCUCCAUAUUUUUGCUGAAUAAAUGCUUCUCGGUUUGUUGUAAUCCCUUUGAUCACUCUCCAGAGACUUUGAAUGGUUUUCUUUGCUAAUUUUGACCAGCUUGGUGGAUACCUCUUCAGGAGAGAGGUUUCCCCAAACUCCUCCACCACUGCUCCAGAAAUCCCCAGAAGUUCUUGACAUUUCGUGAGGGCAAAACUUAGAGCACAAGGCAUCAGUGGCUUCCUUCUCUUACCAGUUGUAUAACCUUGAGCAAGUCUUUUAACCUCUGUGAACAGUUUCUCAUCUGUAACAUAAGGAUAAUCAUAGUGCCCACAAUUGUUGGGAGGAUUUGUUGAGUUAAUCCUUGUUAUGCACCUAGUCUAGUGCCAAGUUAUCAUUAUUACUAUUGUCAUUAUUUUUAAUAAUCCACGAGUUUAUAACUUCAGAGUGUUGGAAUCAUAACCAGUUCACACAAUACUUUUGUACAAGUUAUAAAAGGCAUUUUUCCUCAGGACAAUUUAUUAUUUGUCUUUCAAAGUAAUUAUAAUAAUAUAAUGAUUUUGUUAGAAUAAGACAA